rnacentral:rRNA from 1 species
AAGGUAGCAUAUAAUAUUCUCUUUAAUUGAGGGGUAGCAUGAAUGAUUUAAUCUAAAUUAAACUAUAUCAAGUUAAAUAAUAAAAAUUAAUUUAAAGGUGAAGAAGCCUUUUUUCUAUUAAAAGACAAAAAGACCCUAUUGAGCUUUAAUUAAUUUGAAUACUAAAAUUUCACUUAAAUUUUUAAUUUUAACUUUAAUUUUUUCUGGGGCGGAAAGAGUUUAAAAUUAACAUCUCUAAAAUAAAAGACUUUUUGUCUUAAAUAAGAUCUAAUACUUAUUAAUAUUUAGAUAAGCUACCAUANGGAUAACAGGCUGGUCCUUCCGGCGAGUACUUAUUAAGGGAAGGGUUUGGCACCUCGAUGUUGGCUUA